rnacentral:rRNA from 1 species
AUACGUAGGUGGCACGCGUUGUGCGGAUUUACUGGGUGUAAAGGGGGCGCAGGCGGGGAGCUCCGUUGGAUGUGGCAGACAAGGGGGCAACUCCGGGGCUGCAUGCAAAACGGGGUUUACUGCGUGGAGAAGACGCAAGCGGAGUCCCGACUGGAGCGGUGCAAUGCGUAGAUAUUCGGAGGAAAACCAGUGGCGAAGGCGGCUUGCUGGACUCUAACUGACGCUGAGGCCCGAAAGCGUGGGGAGCAAACAGGAUUAGAUACCCUGGUAGUCCACGCCGUAAACGAUGAUUACUAGGUGUGGGGGGUCUGACCCCUUCCGUGCCGCAGUUAACGCAAUAAGUAAUCCACCUGGGGAGUACGGCCGCAAGGCUGAAACUCAAAUGAAUUGACGGGG